rnacentral:lncRNA from 10 species
CCCAUACAAAGAAAGCUGUAUUUACAUUACUUCUUUUCAUGGCUGUAAAGUCGAAAAGAAAAUUGAGAUUAUUUUGUAGUAUCCACUGCAGAUGCUAAUCACCAGAUUUGCUUUCUUCUUGUGGGAAACCUUCUGCUUGGGGAUACCUGACGAUUAACUAUACAUACAUAGCAUAUAUAUACAUGUAUGUACCUGUCACCAGCAUUUCUUACCAUAAAUGAGCUUCCUAUCAUUCUGAAAUAUCCAAAGAUGCCUGAAACAUUCUUCAAAAAAUUUCAUAAAUUGAGUAAGAAUAGGAACUAUUUUCUGUGGGAUUUUUUUCUGUAAACUUUUUGUAGUCCUAUUUUGUUUAUCCACAGAACUUUACUUUUCUCUUCCCCACACUCCUCUUUAAGUUAUAAUUGUAGAUUUUUGCAGCUUUUUUGCUUAUGAAUUGCUCAAGUGGGCUGUCAGGUAAAGCUUCUCAAUUUAAAUUCUAUAUUUAGACAUACACUUUCCACGUCUGAUUUUUUUUCCUUACCUUUCUUAAGCAGCAUUUAGCAGGAUGUGUGUUGACGUGUGUGCAGUGUAAAUAUGUGCUUUAAAUGACUAAGUUUCCUGGAUAACCUAGGACUUAUAGAGAGAUUAGGUACUACAGCUUAGAAGAUCAUUUCUCACAAUUUCUUGGAACUAUAGGGUGUGGGCAGGAAGACUGGAGCCUUUUAUCUUCCACCAUGUCAUAUAGCCAUUUAAAACCUUCAGUGUUUUUCAGUAGCUUUGAUUUUACACUGGGUCCAAGCCACACGUAGAUGUGCCAUAUAUUAAAUAAGACAAAUUAUAUAGAAAAUUUAAGUAGGGGAUAUGGCCACACCUAUGACCAAAGUUUUUUAUUCUAACCUUUUAUGUUCAGAGAAUAUCAAAAUCUGUAAAAAGCUCUCAUUUGAAGAAAGAUGUUCCCUGUCCUUUCCUCAGCUAAAGAUGAUGACAUGUUGAGGAAUUUGAUAAAAAAUUAGUUCCGUAAGUAUUAUCACUACAAAGAAGCAAAAGCCAUCUUCUGAUGGUAAAAUUGAGAGCCAGUCAAAUGUCAACUGAUCCAAAUGGCUGAAAAUAAAAUGUCAGAAUGAGGAAACCUUGCUGAACACAUUUUACUUUAAAUAGCUGCCAAGAACAGGAUUCUUUUAGGGGUGACUAUGCCCGCUCUGUGGACAGCAACUACACUCCAGAAAUAAAGGAACCAUAUAUGCAUUUCUCCUUCUGCUAAGGAGAAGCUUAAAGGCUAACCUCUGGGCCCCUUGACUUGCUCUUCAAGACAGACCACUUUCAGGGUUCAUCAAUACUACAAGCUUUCUGUCAUCAAGGGUGUGUGCUGCAGGAUUGGAACAUCUGGGCAUGGCUACUCCAGCACAAAACACACAGCCAGCACCGCACACACACACACACACACACAGACACACACACACAGUGUUCUUGUUACUAACUAGAUGCAACUAGUUAACUUGUUCCUUCACUAGUCAUGCAGUACAUAAUGACACUUAGGUCAAUGACUGACCACAUACAUAACAAUGGUUCCAUAAAAUUAUAAUACUUUACAUUUACUGUACCUUUUCUAUGUUCUGAUACACAAAUACUUGCCAUUGAGCUACAAUUUCCAACAGUAUUCAGUACAGUAAUGUGCUGUACAGGUUUGUAACCUAGGAGCAAUAGCCUAUACCAGAUAGCCUAGGUGUGUAGUAGGCUAUACCAUUUAGGUUUGUGUAAGCACAUUCUGAUGUUUGCGCAACAACGAAAUCGCCUAAGGAUGUGACUUAAACAAUGCAUGACUCUAUUUCAUUUAUAUUUCUACUGGAGAGCUAGUAUUUUUUGCUCUUGCGUAGUUCAAAUUCAGUCUUUCCUCACUGGCCCCCGAACCUAUCUGUUAAUUCCAAGUUGAACAGCUCUUUCUCUGCAGGACCCAACCUUGACUGUGGGCUUCUAUUUCUCAAUCCUUGAUUCCCCUUAAACCAAUUUUAAUCAAGUUUCCCUACUCUAAUUUUUAAAAAUGGUACUUCAAAUAUCAACACUCUGCCUCAAAUCUCACAGAAUAAUCUAGUUUCUCCUAUGAUGAUUGUUUGCUCUUCAUAUUUUUACCUUUAAAGAAAAAAAACCUCACACUAAAAAUCAAUUGUUUCUGAAAAUGAUAUUAAUCUCUUUCUUCUAGAGCCUGUCACAUUUUAACUUUCUCUAUUUCUUAUUCUAUGUUAUAAAUUUCUCGUUAAAAAAUGCCAAAUAUAGACUUCUCACCUUCCUUGUCUUUAAAACCCAAUUAAAUUACUAUUAUUUUUCUCAUAUCUAAAGAGUGUUAUAUUAAAUCUACCUAGGAUUAGACCAAGGUGUUCGCCAGGUCACACUACAUGUCUUCAGAAGUUGAAAAUGUACUUACGGUUUUGAAAACUAGUCAUUCUUUAAAAUACUGUUAAAGUGCAGUGUACUUAAAACAAUCUCAGAAAAACCUUUUUGUAAUUUGAAUUUCACCAACUAAUUAUCUUCCUUGUGAAUUCUAAUCUUAAUAAAUUGAGUUGUUGUAAAGCAAGUACCACCUAUACUUAAUCUCCACGUCCUCAGGAAAAUAUUUUGGAGCACUGGAGACAAAGGCUUUACGUUCUUUAGCUGCUCUGUUCUGCUCGCCCUGUAGACCAGAGAUCUCAAAUGUUUUGGUCUCAUGAGUCCUUAACAUUCUUAAGAAGUAUGGAGGAUUCCAAAGAGCCUUUUUUAUGUUGGUUAUAUCUAUUAAUAUUUACCAUAUUACAAAUUUAAAACUCAGGAAUUUUAAGGACAUGUAUUUAUUAAUAAAUAGCUUAAAAUAACAAUAAACCCAUUUUAUGUUAACAUAAAUAUGUAUUAAUGAAACAUAACUAUAUUUUCCAAAUGACAAAAAAUUAGUGAGAUGGAUUUGGCUCCACAUUUUUGCAAAUUUCACUAACGUCUGGCUAACAGCUGGAUGUUCAUAUGUGCAUCUGCAUUCAGUCUGUUGUGAUAACUCACUUCACGUUUCAUCUGCAAAACUCAACUGCACACUUCUUAGAGACUAGGAGUGGAAAGACAAGUAAUAUUACAAAAAAAUAGUUUUGACUUUGAGAACCCCCUGAAGGUGUCUUAAGAACCCCUUAAGAGUCCUCAGAUGACACUUUGAGAACUGCUGCUAUAGAGUCAUAGUAUUUGUUCAAAUUAAGAAGUAAAGUCUAAGUAGAGUGAGGAACAAUGGUGGAGAUAGUAAAUGCAGAAGAGUGUAAUGUGUCUAACUGAGAAAGGACAAGGUUAUGUUAGGAUGGAGCAAACCUGCUGGCCAUUAACUGGUAGAAUCAUAAUGAGAUUUUUGUCUUAGGAUAAGUUACAAACAGGGUUGGAGGAUGUAUUUGGCAAAAGGGCAAGAUGUGUGGUAGGUGAUGGUAGAGUACUCUAGAAAAUUUUAGUGUGUCCUUUCUUCUUUCUCUGCAAUUCUGUGGGGAAUGAGCAUCACCUUUUCCAGCAAAGGCUAUCUAGUCUGAAAUACUACCACUUUACCACAUUAUUUUAUAUAUUCUUAAGGACAUGUCUUUCAGUUCCAAGCAUCAUUCUGCUCCCUUAGUCCCAAUCGUAUAGGAAAGAGAUACUUGUCUUGCAUAGUAAACACAAAAACCAAGAACAGCAACAAGAAGUAAGCAAACAAACAAGCAAAAUAUUGGCACAAAGAUCAUGUUUAUAACCUUGUUUGUGGAGAAGAAAACUCAAGGGUAUCAUUUUUAUUAAAUUUCUGUUCAACAAAUUUCUUCUUGACAUCAUAGUUUUCUAUCACCUUACUUAUUCAGUUGCUGUUUCAGUUGUUACUAUGAAAACAGAACACGCCUAAACAGAUUUACCUCCAAUGGAAAUCAGAUGUUUUCAUGGGAAGGUGUGCCUUUUCUUCACCCUUUGAUCACCCUCUUUGUGGGCCUCUGAUUUCAGGCCCAUGCUGUUGAGGAAGAGAGUACUUCCAGGUUUGGAGAUGGAGGCAGGGGCCCCAGUAAUGUAGCAGGUCCUGCUUUCGGUAAGUGGGUGCCACUGUCUUCCCAUAGCUACUUAAAAGCUGUAGGAAGUAUAGUGUGUUUCCUACUAAGUCCGCUUGCCAGUCCUGGUUUUUUAAUUAUAUGUUUAGAAAUGAGUUUCUCCACUGAAACAAUGGUUACAUGGAGAGUUUUUUUUUUCCUAUAGUCUUCAUAGAAUGACUACUUUUUUAAAAAAAAUUAAUUAUUAGAGUCCUCUGUGUGCAUGAGAGGGAAAGACUGAGACAGAGUGAGAGAGGAAAGAAAGGGUAAUUUUGUUUUCAGGAUUAAGAAUCUGUAUCAAAAAGAUCUACUAAGCAAACUUACCAAAGCCAUACUCUGGUUUGAGCUAAGAGAGGCCAAUCUUUUGUUGAACAGCCUAAUGUAAUAAAUUGCAAUCGAAGGGCUUUAGAUUUCUGUACAAAGUUUUCAACCAGAUCUAAUUGGAAGUGCAACUCACAUAGCCAGGAGCAUUCUAAAAAACAGAGCAGUGAAUUAACACUAUUUUUAAAAGUCAAGAAGUCUCUUCUCCUUCCAAAGGAGAGUUUUUCAGACAUUAGCUUCAACUGCCAAACAUUAUACAGAAAGUCCUUUUAUAGAGAUUUUCUCCCUUGACCUUCUAGUUUUCCCCCUCUUUCCACUCUAUCUCCACUCCCCUUUCCUGCUCUCUCCUUUCCCUGCCAAUUCUUCACCGCACUCCCAACCAUCAGCUGUGAAGGAAGCAAGGAUUGUAUCAUAAAUGACCUAUUAAUCAGCGGUUUCCUAGAUAAUUUUGCUGAGGAAAGUAGAGUUUUGGAGAACCUAGGCUGGUUUCCAGUCAAAUAAGAAAAUGUUCAAUAUGUAUCUGAAGCUUUUGUUAAAUUAGAUUGAGGUAGUGAUUAUAUCUGACUGCAAAAAAAAAAACUUUAAAGUGUCUUUUUUCCUAAACUAUGGAGUUUUUUUAUGUGAUAACACUGGAUUUACCAAUGUAUCUGCUUAAUCUUAGCAAAUGGCAGUGUAGACAUACCCUUGUUCAAAAUGACCCUCUUAGGUAGAGUCAUUUAAAUGGGGGAUAGUAAACUAAUCUUUCUUUUUAUCCUCCCUCAUUCCCACCCUGCACUACAUCCUCCUCGAAUAUUGGAGCAGUUCCAGCAGAUGUCUUAUGAAAAUAAGAGCCAGAGGUAAAAUAGUACCUUCCUCACCGCCCACCACACGCUCCCAAGAUACCCAGGCCCUAAUCUACAGAGUGUGUGAAUAUGUUAUGUUACACGACAAAGGGACUUGGCAGAAGUGAUUACGGCCAUAGACCUUGAGAAGGAGAGAUUUUCCUGGAUCAUCUUGGUAGACCCAAUCAUAAUACAUGAGCCCUUAAAAGCAGAUUAUUUUCUCCAGCUGGAAUCAUAAGGAUGUAGCGGGAGGAAUGUGGUAGAAGUGAAAGUGAGAGAGACUGAAAGAAGGCAAAUGAUGUGACACAUUGCUACUGGUUUGAAGAGGGAGGUGGAAGGUUGACAAAGAAUGCAGGAAACCUUAAAGAGCCGAAGAAGCUGGACUGACAGCCAGCGGGGAAACAGUGACCUUAGCCCUACAACCAAAAGGAGCUCAAUUCUGCCAACAGAGCUUGAAAGCAGAUUCCUCAGAGCUUCCAGAUGAGAGCAGAUUGGCAGGCACAUUGAUUUCAUCCUCACAAGACCUGGAGCAGACCAACCAGCUGACCACCUGAACCCCCCGUACAUCCGACCUGCAGAAUUGCUGGAGUGCAGUGACACAAUCAUGACUUACUGCAACCUCAAACUCCUGGGCUCAAGUGACCCUCUCACCUCAACCUCCAGCAGAGCUGAGACUA